CCUCACAACAUACACGUAGCAAAUGGCAAAAUCUCAAAUUUCCAAAGUCAUUUUCUUUGCCCUUCUCAUCUGCUUCCUCCUCAUAGCAUCCAAUGAGGUGCAGAUGGCGGAAGCAAAAGUUUGUUCGAGACUGAGCAAAACAUGGUCGGGGUUAUGCUUGAACACCGGCAACUGCAACCGGCAAUGUAGGAACUGGGAGGGAGCUCUGCACGGAGCUUGCCACAGAAGGGGCUGGGGAUUCGCUUGCUUUUGCUACCGUAAAUGCUGAGAUUAUAGCUAAAUAAUCUCAACUUGCUUGCUUGCUUGAUAAUAUCAUGAAUAAAAGGUUGCUUAUCAGGUCCGCAACCAUAUAUGUAUUGGAAUAAUUUGUACCAAAGUUUGUUUGUGUUUGUUACUGCUUCAACAUUUGUAUUGCUUCACAAGAAAAUGAAUGUGUUUUCUUUAUCUUUCUAAAUAAACUGUCAAAUUACAAUA